rfam:Beta vulgaris subsp. vulgaris Bvchr7.sca021.con0373.1, whole genome shotgun sequence.
GUGUUUGCAGAUGCAGCAUCUUCAAGAUUCACAAACAAUCUUAGCUUUUCUUAUUAAUGAAGGUUCUUCCUUCAUUUCAUGUUGAUCUUGGAAAGCUUGGAUCAUCUGAGAAUCUUGAUGAUGCUGCAUCAGCAGAUAC